rnacentral:rRNA from 1 species
AACCUGGUUGAUCCUGCCAGUAGUCAUAUGCUUGUUUCAAGGACUAAGCCAUGCAAGUCUCAGAAUAAAUGGAUCACAGUGAGUCUGCAGACAGCUCAUUAAAUCAGCUAUAAUCUACGCCGAGAAACUGCCUCAUGGCAGACUAUUGGAUAACUUUGGUAACCCCAAAGCUAAUACAUGUCAGCAAGACCCGCACAGAUUCAACCUUGGGCCCUCACAGGCCCGAGGCUGUGUCGGGUGCAAUUGACCGAAACAAAAACCAACCCUAGCAAUAGGAGUGGUGAUUGGAUGACUCAGGUCAAUCGAGUAGUAGCGCAUAUUUCGAUGGCGCUUGUCGGCACGAGUAUCUGACCUAUCAGCUUUUGACGGUAGUGUAAUGGACUACCGUGGCUGUAACGGGUAACGGGGAAUUAGGGUUCGAUUCCGGAGAGGGAGCCUGAGAAACGGCUACCACAACUAAGGUUGGCAGCAGGCGCGCAAAUUGCCCAAUAGCAACACAUCGCUGAGGCAGCGAAGAGAAAUAGCAACUUCAUGCGGCCCUGCCGUGUGAAGAUUGCCAUGGACGAUAUCUAAACCUGUCGAUGAGUAUCAAUUGGUGGACAAGUCUGGUGCCAGCACCCGCGGUAAUUCCAGCACCAAUAGC